ensembl:snoRNA
CCCAUAUAUGACUUAGUUGUGAAAAAUAACAUACAAGGGGAAAGAUUUUAUUUUUAAAAAUUCACUCUCGGGAUCUGAAAUCUUGGUGGGGAUCCCUGCGGCCUGGCUCCCCACUGUAAGUCCAGAUCAGUAGCACUGCUGGCCUCAGUUUCUGGCAGCGGCCUGCAGGGAGGCACACAAGAAGGGGAAAAAUAGAUUUUAAAAAAUCCAUUUUCAUUUUAUCUUUUA